rnacentral:misc_RNA from 1 species
GAUGAAGAACGUAGUGAAAUGCGAUAAGUAAUGUGAAUUGCAGAAUUCAGUGAAUCAUCGAAUCUUUGAACGCACAUUGCGCCCGCCAGUAUUCUGGCGGGCAUGCCUGUUCGAGCGUCAUUUCAACCCUCAGGCCCCCAGUGCCUGGUGUUGGGGAUCGGCAGCAGGGCGUCAAGCCCGCCGGCCCCGAAAUCUAGUGGCGGUCUCGCUGUAGUCCUCCUCUGCGUAGUAGCACAACCUCGCAGUUGGAACGCGGCGGUGGCCAUGCCGUUAAACACCCCACUUCUGAAAGUUGACCUCGGAUCAGGUAGGAAUACCCGUUGAACUUAAGCAUAUCAAUAAGCGGAGGA